rnacentral:lncRNA from 1 species
UUUACGCAGACUCCAUUUGUCUCUGUUCUCUCACCUGCGUCUCUCACUUUCCCUCUCCCUCUCGCCCGGCGACGUCGCCGGUCCUCCCCGCCUCCGGCGUGGCGAGGCCGGCUCCUCAUCUUCUCCUUCCUCUCUAUUCCCUAUUUCUUUCUCUAAUUCUAAAAUUCCCAAUUUCUAGGGUUUUCGGCCUCCCUUUCCCCUCUGAAAUUCGCCUCUCCGGCGAGUGCUGCCUCUGCCACCGCCGUCUCCGUCGCACCACCGCCACCUCUGUCUCAGGUAAUCUAUCUUCCUCCCUCUCUCACGAUCGAUCUCUCUCUGUCCUCUCUCUCUCUCUCUCCCUCUCGAUCUUCCCCUCUGCCCUCUUGCUUGCGGCGGCAGCGGCAGCGCAUGUAGCGCCGGCGGUCGCCGCCGCUCUGCUCUUCUCUCCCUGCCUCUAUCUCGCUCUACUUUCUCUCAUGUCCGUGUCUCUCUGUCUUUGUCUUACUCUCUGUUUCUCUCCCUCGCUCAAACUCUCUCUGCUACUGGCGGCCACCGCGGACCGCCGUGGCGCAGGCAACGCCGGCAGUCGCGCCUUUGCCGCGGUGGCUCGCGGCUGCUGCUAUCGCUUGCCUCUUCUUCCUCCUCUGUUUCUGUUUCUCUUACUUUCUUUCUUUUCUAGUUUAAUAGCUUGUUUAGCAAAUUCCUAACUAUUUCCUUAUCUCAGGAAUCGAUGAUUCAACUCCGGCGAGGCAGCCCGCCUCCUGAUCAAUGCUCAAGAUUCUAUUUUUUCUACCUUUCUUAUUGUAAAUUUAUGUUCUUUCAUUGAUUGAUUAUUGAAAAACUGAAGCUGUAAUGGUUGGGAAAUCGUACUGUGCUUAUAGAAAUUAGAGUUAGAGAUAUCUGUUUGUGCUUAACUGGUGUAGCUAUGUCUUUUUCACUGCUUUUCUUUACAUACUGAAUAUACUGUAUUGAAUAAGAAAGACUACCUUCUUUGAUGUCCGCUGGGGAGGAUGUGUGUUUGAAUGGAUGAUUGCUGCUUGUUUAAGAUUUGCAGAAUGGAAACAAAAACGGAAUUACUGAGGCUACUCAAGAUAUACUGGUUUGAGUCGGUUGAUGUGAAGCAGCUGCGUAAAAGUUACAAGCUACGCGUCCUUCUGUUAGCUAAUCUGACUUAACAACUCUAAUUAAUGUCUUAAAUCUAAUUAAAAGUUAAUUACUUUACUAAUGAUAUAAAGGAUUGGACUUGGACUUCUUUCUAUAUAAUAAAACAACUAGCCCAUAUGAUAAGCUUUGGGCUUCAGAAUUAAUUGAAUAAUUGGGCUCUUAGUAUAAAUUAAAAUCUUAGCCCAUCUCUUUUAUUAAUAUAAUUUGGGCUUCUAAAAUAGUAGCCUAAUCCAACUUGAAAUAAUAAAGGAUUUGGGCUGCUAUAGCUAUAAGUCUCCAUGUAACUCAACUCCUUCCAUAUACUAACAAAGACUGGCCCAAAUAAUAUUAAUAACAUAUAGUAUACUGUAGUGAAAAUGCCGGAUGUUACAUCCUCUCCCCCUUAAAGAAAUUUCGUCCUCGAAAUUUGACUACAUCAGAAAAUAAUUCUAGAUACUUCUCUUUCACAUCGAACUUGUGCACUCCUUAAGAAUGCGGAAUAUUAAGAAAAACGUUAUAGCCUAUUUCAAAAAUCCAAAUCAAAUCAACGAGUGUUAGCAAAAAGUUUAUGUCGCUCUUGAGGUUCCUUGAGCAGUUGUCGAAUAUAUCGGAUAAGCGUAGUCAUUUCUUCAACUGCAUCAGGUCCUAUCACUUUUCUUUCACCUACCUCACGUCAAUAGAGUGGAGAUCAACAUUUCUUUCCACAAUAAGCUCCAUAUGGUGUCAUAUCAAUUGUUGCCCGAAAACUAUUAUUAUAGGCAAAUUCAAAAGCUUUUUCCCAAAAAAAUGAAAGACCAUAAGAAAUAUGUGCUGAUAUGUCAAAAAGGGUCACGAAAACUUAGACCGCAAGAACUGAAUUGCUCAACACAACUUGGAGCUAGCAACAAUAGUAUUAUGAAACGAGAUGUAAAAUUGAUACACCUCAUAAAAAUUUAAAAUACUUAUUCGAGCAAAAAGAUCUAAGUAUGAGGCAAAAAUAUAGCUCGAAUUAAUAAGGGACUAUCAUCCACGCAAAGUCAAUAUAGUAGUGGAUGCCUUAAGUAGAAAAAUUUAAGUUAACUAAGGAUUUCUCCUUACCCAUGAAGAAAAAUUCUCAUCAAGGAUUUGAAAGUUUAAAUUACAAAUGGUUCUACCACAGCAAACCAUAGAAGCUGUAAUUCCAAUGUUAACAAUAACUCAUGAUUUGAGAAUCAAAAUUCUUACAGUAACAAGAGAAAAUGACAGGUAGAAAAAUUGUAAGGAAUAGAAGGGAUUGAUAAUUCCCAAGAAGUUCGGGGUAAAGCUAUCUUGUUUGAGAAAAGAUUAUGUAUACUCAACAAAGAAUAGUUGAGAAAUGAAAUCAUAAGUUAAGCUCAUGUAUGCUAUAUNUUCCCCUCUGCCCUCUUGCUUGCGGCGGCCGCGGCAGCGGCAGCGCAUGCAGCGCCGGCGGUCGCCGCCGCUCUGCUCUUCUCUCCCUGCCUCUAUCUCGCUCUACUUUCUCUCAUGUCCGUGUCUCUCUGUCUUUGUCUUACUCUCUGUUUCUCUCCCUCGCUCAAACUCUCUCUGCUACUGGCAGCCACCGCGGGCCGCCGUGGCGCGGGCAGCGCCGGCGGUCGCGCCUCCGCCGCGGGGGCUCGCGGCUGCUGCUAUUGCUUGCCUCUGUUUCUGUUUCUCUACUUUCUUCUUUUCAGUUUAAUAGCUUGUUUAACAAAUCCCUAACUAUUUCCCUUAUCUACAGGAAUGAAUCGAUGAUUCAACUCCGGCGAGGCAGCCGCCUCCUGAUCAAUGCUCAAGAUUCUAUUUUUUUCUACCUUUCUUAUUGUAAAUUUAUGUCUUUCAUUGAUUGAUUAUUGAAAAACUGAAGCUGUAAUGGUUAGGAAAUCGUACUGUGCUUAUAGAAAUUAGAGUUAGAGAUAUCUCUGUUUGUGCUUAACUGGUGUAGCUAUGUCUGUUUUCACUGCUUUUCUUUACAUACUGAAUAUACUGUAUUGAAUAAGAAAGAAUGGAUGAUUGAUGUCUGCUGUGGAGGAUGUGUGUUUGAAUGGAUGAUUGCUGCGUGUUUUAGAUUGCAGAAUGAGAAACAAAACGGAAUUACUGAGGCUACUCAAGAUAUACUGGUUUGAGUCGGUUUAUGUGAAGCAGCUGCGUAAAAGUUACAAGCUACGCGUCCUUCUGUUAGCUAAUCUGACUUAACAACUCUAAUUAAUGUCUUAAAUCUAAUUAAAAGUUAAUUGCUUUGCUAAUGAUAUAAAGGAUUGGACUUGGACUUCUUUCUAUAUAAUAAAACAACUAGCCCAUAUGAUAAGCUUUGGGCUUCAGAAUUAAUUGAAUAAUUGGGCUCUUAGUAUAAAUUAAAAUCUUAGCCCAUCUCUUUUAUUAAUAUAAUUUGGGCUUCUAAAAUAAUAGCCUGAUCCAACUUGAAAUAAUAAAGGAUUUGGGCUGCUAUAGCUAUAAGUCUCCAUGUAACUCAACUCCUUCCAUAUACUAACAAAGACUGGCCCAAAUAAUAUUAAUAACAUAUAGUAUACUGUAGUGAAAAUGCCGGAUGUUACAGUUAUAGAAUGUGAAACCUUGAAGAAAGCUUUCUGAUUUUCGUUGUUGUUCUGGAGUUCGAUUGGUUUUGUGUUGGCUGCGAGAAUGAUUCAAGAAUACGGUUAUUGAAUGAGAAGCUGUUAAGGAAGUGCAUAAGAAGUGAAGUUUAUUUACCUUUCUCUGCACGGGUAUGGUUCUUGCUAGAGUGAAGUGAGUUGUGUGUUAACUGAUAUGCUAUUUAUAAGUGGAUUCCGUAGACAAUGGAAAUUAUGAAGGUUGAAAUUUGUGUAGGGAGUAGGAGGAUUUGCAACCUUUGAGAAGAAUGCGGAUCAUGCCGUAGAGAGUUGAGGUGAUUUGAGAUGCCAGCAGACUUUGAAAAACAAAUUUGCAGCUUUUGAACAGAAAGAUUUGCUACACUAGAAAAUCUGUAGCUUUUGAAAAGAAAGGUGGCUGAAGUAAUGAGGUGUUAGAGGGGAUGGUGGAAUAGUGUAGGAUUUUGAUGUGACUAUUUAUCGAGAUCUAAUUUCUCAUAGUUCGUACUUGUUUCUGUAAUAAUUCUCCAGUUCUUGUUAAUAAAAUACUCGUCGUAUAUAUUAAAUCCUCAAACUUGGGAUUUAAUACGUGAAAGUCGGAAUUUAAUUCGCGACUUAAUACUAAACACAUAUAGCGUGAAAUAAUAAAAUUAUUAAUCACAUAAGCUCAAGUUAUAAUUCUAAUAAUUCGAUUUAAAUAACACGAUUUAUGAAAUCGAUUAUAAAUCUAAAAUUUCUAAUACUAUUGAAUCAAUCAACUGGUAAUGCAAAGUUUCAAACGUGUAGCUAUACCAAUAAUUUAAUUAUUGGUUUGAUUCAUGACUGAAUAUUAAAUCGCAGCUCUGUAUAUCUUAUACAGACUUUUGCUGAAAUAGUAUUAUCUUAACAAAAUAGUCACAAUAAAUAAUUAAAAGAAUUUUAUAACUAAUGCACAUAUUUAAUCUAAUAUGUAUUUAAAAGAGCGGUGCAUCACAUUGAUUAUGUGUUAUAGAGUCCAAGAAUAGGUCGACAUAGAAAACUCUAGAUAGACAAUGAUUUCCGUUAUCUAUAGCAUGAGCUAAGUGUUAAGAUUUGUCUUGUAGGAAUUGGUCCAUAGGAUGGUGCCACCGCUUGAGAUUUCAUCUCUCUCUCUCUCACCAAAGAAUCAGGUGGAUUAUAUUUGCGAAGUAAGUUAGGGUUCGUAAGCCAUCUUUUUUUAAAUUAAAGAAAAAUGUGUUUUAUCUUUGAAUGCAUGUAAAAUAUUUUGUUAGUUGUUACGAACGGGGUCAUCCCAAACCAAUCGGGAGUGCCUGCACAGUGUCGGGCCCCAAAAUCAAGAGGAUCAGUUCAGUUCAGGGUAGUGUACACAAGUAAGAAGUCUAAGUAUGAUAUUCGGUUCGGCCGAGUCUCCCAUACUUAGCAACCAGUGGGUAACACCAAACCAAGAAAAGGUCCGCAAAGUUAAAAGAGCCUCAGGUUACAAGUAUUUUGAAAUUUAUAGGAAGUGUUUUUUUUUAAUAUAAAGUGUUGUUGUAUCUUAUGGGAGACAUGCAUUUCACUAAGCAGAAAAUUCUUUAAAACAACUUUUAAAGAAAAAAGGCAUUAACUUCACAGAGUGUAUUAGUAAUUAGUCCAAAGUUUUUAAAAUCUUUUGCAGAUUAAAAGACCGGGGCGCAGUGGAGGGCAGGAGGUGGUGUAGGUUUGGAGCAAUACGAGAAUGUCAAGGUUAUCCUUGGCAAGUCCUUUCCUCUAAACUUAGAAUUUAAGAACAAUUUUUUUUUGUUUAAAUAAAUUGAGUUGCUCUCGGGCACUCAACUUUCUUUUCAACGAACUUCCCAGAUUUUACAGGAACCCUUAUACUCCGUGUCAAGUCGGGGGGUUUUUGAGCGAUUGAUUCAAGUAUCAGUUAAUUAAUUCUACUAAUUAAUCAAGAAUUUAGUAAAAUUAAAUAGAUUAAUUAUUUCCGCGAAUUAACCUAAUUCAGUUAAAAUGUCCCUAGUCCACGUGACGCCCCUGGAUAAGUUGGGUCGUCACAUUCAGACUCUCAUAGGGCCUUUGUUUCUUUUUUCUUAAACUUCUACUCUCUCUCACAAAGCUGUUUUUGUUUGUUUUUUGAAGUUGGGCUAAGUAAAAGCAUUUCCAGCCCAAAGCCCGAAAAUAGGUAUUAAGCCCAAGAUGAAGACAUGCACAUAUAUUUUAGGAGUACGAAAAGAACAUUAUAAAAUAUUUUAAAAUUCCCACAUCCUUAAGUUGUAUAGUAAAAAUGGCCUAAAUUAUAAACUUAAGUAUUUUAUGCCCUAAUUAUGUGAAGUGCCUAUUUUACCCUUUGAUGCUGAUGUGUUUACUUGGUUUUUUGUGAAAGUCUUAUACAUUUGACCGAUUUGACAGUCAUCGAUCAUAAAAGUCAACGAUUUGACAGCUAUCAGUCAAGAAUACAUAUGACCGGUGAGUGGCUAGAUCAUGUGUCCGGAUGACUGUCAAAUCGGUCAAAUAACGGCGAACACAUGAUGUAGCCACCCAACAGUUAUAUGUACUCUUGACUGAUAACUGUCAAAUCGUUGACUUUUAUGAUUGAUAGCUGUCAAAUCGGUCAAAUGUGUAAGACUUUCACAAAAAACCAAGCAAAUCCAUCAAAUCAAAGAGUAUUUAAAGAAUAGGGCAUAGAAUGCUUUGUAUAAUAAGAGAUGACAUUUUUACAAAAAAAGAUAAGGAAGUGGACAUUUUAAAUUUUUACUCCAUUUCAGGCAUGUAAGAAUAAAUGUGAUACAUGCCAUCAUCCCUACUUAUAUCGGAUAUUUGAUUAAUUCGUAAAAGAUUCGUAAUUGAUUCAUAUUGGUAUCCCCUUAUUUGCAUUGUCGGUUAAUAAGGCGAUUAAUUAAUAAGAAGAGGUUGCCAAUGAAGCCUAGCUCAAGUGGCAAAGUUGAAAUAUUCAAAAAUUCUCAUUUGUGUGAGAGGUCUUGUUUUUGAUCCGUCUCCCAAACGAGUAUUUAAAUAAUUUACAGCUAUUGUUUCUUGAUCCAAAGCUGAGGCGUUGAUAUUUCUUGAGGAAGGGGAGCUGCUGUGGCGGCGGCGUUUGGGAGAGGGGGGCUGCUGGUGGGUUUUUCUAGGGAGGGAAGCUACGAAUCUUUAAGGUGGUGGAGCUAUAUGGUGGAUGCGGUGCAAUGGUGAAGGAACCAUAUUUCGAUAUAUGAUUCACAUCCCCGUGAUCAAUUCCGGAUACCAAAUGAAUACAUACAAAAAUCACGUGCUUAUUACAAGAGAACAAAUCUUACUUGCAAAUCCGACGAUGAGCGACUCCAGAGUGAAUCUUCCGACUUAUUUCCCACGGCAAUACUUGACGUACGUGGCUACGAACUUCAAGUCCUUUCCAUCUUCUAGGAAUUGCAUCUCUCUUUCUCUCCUUCUGCUCUCACAGAACUCUUUCUUUUUCUGCUCACAUGUUAAUGCUCAAGUAAUUAGGUUUAAGAUUGUCUUAUUAUUUACACUAGGUAUUAAUCAUAUCUAAAUAAUAAACCCAUAAACUUAAUUAAAACAAAUAGAGCCCAAGAGAGAAUAAUUGAGAAGGGACGUCCCUUUAUGAAUUACGCUUUUAUUGGGCCAAGCGGAGAUCUACUAGCUCGAAUAAAGUUUGGCCUCCCAGUGCUCUAUUUUCUUAUUCAGCCCAGAAUAAAAAUCGAUACACAAGUAUUAAUUUAUUCCACUAGAAAAUUAAUACUGAAUUACCUCUUCAUUAUUUAGGUGAGUCGGGGCUAGCAUUAGACUUAAUUAAUCCCCGUGUUUAAGAUAUCUAAUACUAUCCAUUAAUUAAAUAAUUCCUCUGAUGAUCAAUUAAUUAAUUAAUCAGUAAUUUAAUUAUAAACGACAUUUCGAGUGCUACCACUUAAACUUAUUAUCAUAUCAGAACUAAUUCCACCUGCAGGGUUUAAUACGAUAAACUUAUUAAGUUCCUCGAGAGGAUAUUAUCAUCCUGUUAUUAGCAGGAUACGGAUCCUUAUUGCAAUAUAAUCGCAUUUCAAAUAAUAAUUGCUAUCACUAUAUUGAGCUUCAAGAGAACUCUCACCUAUGAUAAAUCAAAGCAAUAGUCAAUAUAUUAUUCACACCGAUUAAUCCAACUAAGGUUAAGAGUAUUUAAGUCGCCGAGAUCUUGAUUCUUAAUUAGUCAGAAUAUAAGAAUUCAUCUCACUGUGAUCCUGUUCAAUACACGAAGGUACUAGCAUAAAUAAAUAGCCAAGACAAACUAUUUAUCCAUUUAUGCUACAAUUUGAACCAACAACUCGUCCAUAGUUGCCUCGAUUGUGAACUCAAUUUAUAUAUCAACUUUUUUCAAUUAUAUGAUCUUCUGUGAUCUACAACACACCACAUAAUCUAUAGUAUGAGAUAAAUUGGACUAUAAUAUAUAGGAUUAUGCAAUAACAAUAUUUCAGAUAGAAGAAUCAUAGUAAACUAAGGAAUCAAUGUAUACAAUCAUAAAGUCUUGCUUUCAGUAUACAACCAUUCAAAUGGAGGAGGCGACACUACAGUGGGAGGCACGUGAAGGUGGACGUGGCGCAGUGGAUGAGAUGAGGGUGGAGGUGGCUGGAGAGAGGCAAGAUACAGAGAUGCGAGCGGGCUGUUAGGGGAGAAGUGUGAGAAAUAUUUGGAAAGAAUUAAGGUUUUUGUUAGUGUAAUGAUAAAAUUUAGUGUUAAUUAUAUUCUAAAAGGGAAACAUGUCAUGAAUAUUAAGACAAUUCAAAAAAGAAAACAGACCAAGAUUAUUGGGACAGAGGAAGUAUAUAUUUAAGUGGGACCCUUAUUUUUUUAUUUUUGAUACUUAAAUAAUUUAUAACUAUUAUAAUAUACUCCCUCCGUCCCAUUAUUUAUGGCACACUUUCCUUUUUGGGCUGUCCCAACCUAUAUGGCACGUUUCUAUUUUGGGAAAUAAUAAGGGCUCACUUAGGCCUUAAUUUAAUCACUAAUUAUCUGCCUAAAAAAAAUUCUCCUAACCCUAAUUAAAUCUCCUACUUCCUCUCUCUCUC